rnacentral:ncRNA from 1 species
CUGUAGUCAGAUUCACAAGACAGUUCACAAGAUGGUUUAGUGAGGUCCUCGGAUCGGCCCAACCGGAGUUGGUCAUGGCCCUGGCGGAGUAAAUGUUACUUGGGUCACUGUGACAUUUCUUGAGCUACACGCAUGCAAACGAGCGUUGCAUUUAUCAGACCCAAAACCUUUUCUUGGGGGCGCCCCCGGCUACUCUGGUGACUUUACAAAAUCUGGAGAUCAUCGCUACCUCUCUCUUUUAAAUGUCUGCCUUAUCAACGUUUGAUGGCAUCUUCUGUCCCUACCAUGGUGCCAACGGGUAACGAGGAAUCAGGGUUCAAUUUUGGAGCAGUAGCCUGAGAAAUGGGUACCACAUCCAAAGAAAGCAGCAGACGCGCAAAUUAGCCACUCCCGACUCAGGGAGAUAAUGACAAAAAACCAUAAAAGACUCUUUUAAAGGCCAUGUAUGUGGAAUGAGUAUACUUUAAAUCCUUUAAUAAGGAUCCAUUGGAGGGUAAGUCUGGUGCCAGAAGCCACGAUAAUUCCUGCUCCAAUAG